UACGGGGGGGGCAAGCGUUGUUCGGAAUUACUGGGCGUAAAGGGCUCGUAGGCGGCCAACUAAGUCAGACGUGAAAUCCCCAGGCUCAACCUGGGAACUGCGUCUGAUACUGGAUGGCUUGAAUUCGGGAGAGGGAUGCAGAAUUCCACAUGUAGCGGUGAAAUGCGUAGAUAUGUGGAAGAACACCGGUGGCGAAGGCGGUUUUC
rnacentral:rRNA from 1 species